CUCGUAGACUCCUACGGGAGGCAGCAUGGGGGAAUAUUGCACAAUGGGCGCAAGCCUGAUGCAGCCAUGCCGCGUGUGUGAAGAAGGCCUUCGGGUGUUAAAGCACUUUCAGUCGUGAGGAAGGUGGUAGUGUUAAUAGCACUAUCAUUUGACGUUAGCGACAGAAGAAGCACCGGCUAACUCCGUGCCAGCAGCCGCGGUAAUACGGAGGGUGCGAGCGUUAAUCGGAAUUACUGGGCGUAAAGCGCAUGCAGGUGGUUUGUUAAGUCAGAUGUGAAAGCCCCGGGGCUCAACCUCGGAAUAGCAUUUGAAACUGGCAGACUAGAGUACUGUAGAGGGGGUAGAAUUUCAGGUGUAGCGGUGAAAUGCGUAGAGAUCUGAAGGAAUACCGGUGGCGAAGGCGGCCCCCCUGGACAGAUACUGACACUCAGAUGCGAAAGCGUGGGGAGCAAACAGGAUUAGAUACCCUGGUAG
rnacentral:rRNA from 1 species